GUCCGAACCUGGGUGGAACACCAUCCAAGCCUGAGUACUACCCUGUGACCGAUAGCGCACCAGUACCGUGAGGGAAAGGUGAAAAGCACCCCGGGAGGGGAGUGAAACAGUACCUGAAACCGUGCGCCCACGAGCAGUCGGAGCACCUAUACGGUGUGACGGCGUGCCUUUUGUAGAAUGAGCCAGCGAGUCGCUGGCGCGGGGCGAGGUUAACCGAAAGGGAGCCGUAGCGAAAGCGAGCCUUAACAGGGCGACUUGAGUCCCGCGCCGCGGACGCGAAGCCGGGUGAGCUAUCCGUGGGCAGGCUGAAGCGGGGGUAAGACCCCGUGGAGGGCCGAACGCACGUCGGUUGAAAACGGCGGCGAUGACCUGCGGCUAGGGGUGAAAGGCCAAUCAAACCCGGAGAUAUCUCGUUCUCCCCGAAAUAGCUUUAGGGCUAGCGUCGCGCGUUCACCGCCGGAGGUAGAGCACCGGAUGGACGAGGGGGCUUCGCCGCCUACCGAAUCCAACCGAACUCCGAAUGCCGGCGGCCCAGAGCGCGGCAGUCAGAGCAUGUGGGCUAAGCUGUGUGCUCGAGAGGGAAACAGCCCGGACCGCCCGCUAAGGUCCCCAAGUUCCAGCCGAGUGGCAAAGGAUGUGCGUCCGCCCAGACAACCAGGAUGUUGGCUUAGAAGCAGCCAUGCAUUCAAAGAGUGCGUAACAGCUCACUGGUCGAGUGGACAUGCGCCGACAAUACACGGGGCUAAGCUGGACACCGAAGCGGCGGGAUUAUAUCUAUAUAGAAUCGGUAGGGGAGCUUCCCAUGGGCGGUGAAGCCGCCGGGCGACCGGCGGUGGAGCGCAUGGGAGUGAGAAUGCUGGCAUGAGUAGCGAGAGACGAGAGAGUAACUCGUCCGCCGUGAACCCGAGGUUUCCUGGGCAAGGCUAAUCCUCCCAGGGUCAGUCGGGGGCUAAGGCGAGGCCGGGAGGCGUAGCCGACGCGCAGCAGGCAGACAUUCCUGCACCGCGCACGCGGCGCUACGACCGACGGGGCGACGGAUGGGGGUGGCUCGGCGGGGUUCUGGACGUCCCCGUGAUGGAGCGCGGCCCGCGGACCAGGGAAAUCCGGUCCGCACGAGGGCGAGGCUCCGGACGAAGCGAUCAAGCGAAGCGAGUGAGCCCGAGGUCCCUAGAAAAACCCCUAGGCAGGCGCGUGCGCGCCCGUACCGCAAACCGACACAGGUGGGUGGGUAGAACAUACCGAGGCGAUCGGGUCAACCAUGGUCAAGGAACUCGGCACAAUGGCCCCGUAACUUCGGGAGAAGGGGUGCCCGCGCGUACGUGAACCGGCUUGCCCGGGGAGCGGAGGCGGGCCGCAGUGGAGAGGCCCAAGCGACUGUUUACCAAAAACACAGGACUCUGCAGAAGCCGCAAGGCGACGUAUAGGGUCUGACGCCUGCCCGGUGCCGGAAGGUCACGCGGAGGAGUUAGCGCAUCGCGCGAAGCCCCGAAGCCAAGCCCCGGUAAACGGCGGCCGUAACUAUAACGGUCCUAAGGUAGCGAAAUUCCUUGUCGGGUAAGUUCCGACCUGC
rnacentral:rRNA from 1 species